rnacentral:lncRNA from 1 species
UUUAGGGUUUUAGGGUUUAGAGUUUGAAUUUCAGAAAAAUAUAGGGUUUAGGGUUUAAGUUUAGGUUUUAGAGUUGAUGUUUUAGGGUUUAGAUUUGAAGGUUUAGGAUUUAGGGUUUAGUGUUGAUGUUUCGGGGUUUAGGGUUUAGAGUUGAUGUUUUAUGGUUAAGGGUUUAGAGUUGAUGAUUUAGGGUUUAGAGUUGAUGUUUUAAGUUUAGAUUUAGGGUUUGGGGUUUAGAGUUGAUGUUUUAGGGUUUAGAUUUGAAUGUUUAGGGUUUAGAGUUGAUGUUUUGGAUUUAGGGUUUAGAGUUGAUGUUUCAUGGUUUAGGGUUUU